CACCAGACCACAAUUUGGACUUGGAAACCAGGUUUAGUAUCACGUUACUCCAUACCAAAACAAUACCUGUGUUGUCAUGUGCUACUGCCAUGCUAUGUUGUUGUCUUAGGUCUCUCUUUAUGUACUGUUGUGUUGUCAUGUGCUGCUGCCAUGCUAUGUUGUCUUAGGUCUCUAUGUGCUGUUGUGUUGUCAUGUGCUACUGCCAUGCUAUGUUGUUGUCUUAGGUCUCUCUUUAUGUGCUGUUGUGUUGUCAUGUGCUGCUGCCAUGCUAUGUUGUCUUAGGUCUCUAUGUGCUGUUGUGUUGUCAUGUGCUACUGCCAUGCUAUGUUGUUGUCUUAGGUCUCUAUGUACUGUUGUGUUGUCAUGUGCUACUGCCAUGCUAUGUUGUUGUCUUAGGUCUCUAUGUGCUGUUGUGUUGUCAUGUGCUACUGCCAUGCUAUGUUGUUGUCUUAGGUCUCUAUGUACUGUUGUGUUGUCAUGUGCUACUGCCAUGCUAUGUUGUUGUCUUAGGUCUCUAGGUGCUGUUGUGUUGUCAUGUGCUGCUGCCAUGCUAUGUUGUUGUCUUAGGUCUCUAGGUGCUGUUGUGUUGUCAUGUGCUACUGCCAUGCUAUGUUGUUGUCUUAGGUCUCUAUGUGCUGUUGUGUUGUCAUGUGCUACUGCCAUGCUAUGUUGUUGUCUUAGGUCUCUAGGUGCUGUUGUGUUGUCAUGUGCUGCUGCCAUGCUAUGUUGUUGUCUUAGGUCUCUAGGUGCUGUUGUGUUGUCAUGUGCUACUGCCAUGCUAUGUUGUUGUCUUAGGUCUCUAUGUGCUGUUGUGUUGUCAUGUGCUACUGCCAUGCUAUGUUGUUGUCUUAGGUCUCUCUCUAGGUGCUGUUGUGUUGUCAUGUGCUACUGCCAUGCUAUGUUGUUGUCUUAGGUCUCUCUCUAGGUGCUGUUGUGUUGUCAUGUGCUACUGCCAUGCUAUGUUGUUGUCUUAGGUCUCUCUCUAGGUACUGUUGUGUUGUCAUGUGCUGCUGCCAUGCUAUGUUGUUGUCUUAGGUCUCUAUGUACUGUUGUGUUGUCAUGUGCUGCUGCCAUGCUAUGUUGUUGUCUUAGGUCUCUAUGUGCUGUUGUGUUGUCAUGUGCUGCUGCCAUGCUAUGUUGUUGUCUUAGGUCUCUAUGUACUGUUGUGUUGUCAUGUGCUGCUGCCAUGCUAUGUUGUUGUCUUAGGUCUCUAUGUACUGUUGUGUUGUCAUGUGCUGCUGCCAUGCUAUGUUGUUGUCUUAGGUCUCUAUGUACUGUUGUGUUGUCAUGUGCUGCUGCCAUGCUAUGUUGUUGUCUUAGGUCUCUAUGUACUGUUGUGUUGUCAUGUGCUGCUGCCAUGCUAUGUUGUUGUCUUAGGUCUCUAUGUACUGUUGUGUUGUCAUGUGCUGCUGCCAUGCUAUGUUGUUGUCUUAGGUCUCUAUGUACUGUUGUGUUGUCAUGUGCUGCUGCCAUGCUAUGUUGUUGUCUUAGGUCUCUAUGUACUGUUGUGUUGUCAUGUGCUGCUGCCAUGCUAUGUUGUUGUCUUAGGUCUCUAUGUACUGUUGUGUUGUCAUGUGCUGCUGCCAUGCUAUGUUGUUGUCUUAGGUCUCUCUUUAUGUACUGUUGUGUUGUCAUGUGCUGCUGCCAUGCUAUGUUGUUGUCUUAGGUCUCUCUUUAUGUACUGUUGUGUUGUCAUGUGCUGCUGCCAUGCUAUGUUGUUGUCUUAGGUCUCUCUUUAUGUACUGUUGUGUUGUCAUGUGCUGCUGCCAUGCUAUGUUGUUGUCUUAGGUCUCUCUUUAUGUACUGUUGUGUUGUCAUGUGCUGUUGCCAUGCUAUGUUGUCUUAGGUCUCUCUUUAUGUACUGUUGUGUUGUCAUGUGCUACUGCCAUGCUAUGUUGUUGUCUUAGGUCUCUAUGUGCCGUUGUGUUGUCAUGUGCUGCUGCCAUGCUAUGUUGUUGUCUUAGGUCUCUAUGUACUGUUGUGUUGUCAUGUGCUGCUGCCAUGCUAUGUUGUUGUCUUAGGUCUCUAUGUGCCGUUGUGUUGUCAUGUGCUGCUGCCAUGCUAUGUUGUUGUCUUAGGUCUCUAUGUGCUGUUGUGUUGUCAUGUGCUGCUGCCAUGCUAUGUUGUUGUCUUAGGUCUCUCUUUAUGUACUGUUGUGUUGUCAUGUGCUGUUGCCAUGCUAUGUUGUUGUCUUAGGUCUCUAUGUGCUGUUGUGUUGUCAUGUGCUGCUGCCAUGCUAUGUUGUUGUCUUAGGUCUCUCUUUAUGUACGGUUGUGAUGUGUGUUUGGUCCUAUAUUUUUAUAUACAUGUGUGUGUGU